CGUAACCUUUUCCGUUUAUAUGUUUGUGUGUCUCUGUUUUCCAGGCAGUAAACACUCAUUAGUGAUGAAAGCGGUCCACAGGGCUCGUUCAGUCAGUCGGACAGAUGUUUGCUGCUCUCUUUACAAUGAGAAACCCAACCCAUACAACAUGCUCGCUCACAGACAGCAGGAUUCUGGUCAAGGAUUCAGUCUGAUCUGCUAAUGCAGUUCAGGAGCUCGUAUGAAUAAAGUAUGUAAGAGAAAGAGUGCUGAACCCGCGCUCACCUGAGAAUGAUGGAUUAUUCCUCCAGUACACAGCCCUCGGCCUGUAUGGACAAGCAAAUAUGUGAACACAAAAGAUUCUUUCUACACAAGUGGAGCGUUUGAUGGAUAGCAAUGCAGAUCAAUUUUCAGGGUGUGGAAAGAGACGGGUGAGUUUGAAAUUAAGCAAAAAAUACUGUGAAUUAAAUGCAAUUAAUUACGCAAUAUGCGUAUGCUUUCUCUAUGUCCUUGUGGGAUUUGUGUUGUAUUUAAAUCAAUUAAUACUUUUAUUCAGCAAGGAUGCAUUA